UACGUAGGGUGCGAGCGUUGUCCGGAAUUACUGGGCGUAAAGGGCGCGUAGGCGGCCCUGUUAGUCAGGCGUGAAAUGCCCAGGCUCAACCUGGGGACUGCGCUUGAUACGGCAGGGCUCGAGGAUGGAAGAGGGCCGCGGAAUUCCCAAUGUAGAGGUGAAAUUCGUAGAUAUUGGGAAGAACACCGGUGGCGAAGGCGGCGGCCUGGUCCAUUACUGACGCUGAGGCGCGACAGCGUGGGGAGCAAACAGGAUUAGAUACCCGUGUAGUCC
rnacentral:rRNA from 1 species